rnacentral:rRNA from 1 species
AAUGAGCCUGCGAGUUGUGGUGUCUGGCAAGGUUAAGCAAACGCGAAGCCGUAGCGAAAGCGAGUCUGAAUAGGGCGCUUAGUCAGAUGCUGCAGACCCGAAACGAAGUGAUCUAUCCAUGAGCAAGUUGAAGCUAGUGUAAGAACUAGUGGAGGACUGAACCCAUAGGCGUUGAAAAGCCCCGGGAUGACUUGUGGAUAGGGGUGAAAGGCCAAUCAAACUUCGUGAUAGCUGGUUCUCUCCGAAAUAUAUUUAGGUAUAGCGUUGUGUCGUAAUAUAAGGGGGUAGAGCACUGAAUGGGCUAGGGCAUACACCAAUGUACCAAACCCUAUCAAACUCCGAAUACCUUAUAUGUAAUCACAGCAGUCAGGCGGCGAGUGAUAAAAUCCGUCGUCAAGAGGGAAACAACCCAGACUACCAGCUAAGGUCCCUAAAUCUUACUUAAGUGGAAAACGAUGUGAAGUUACUUAAACAACCAGGAGGUUGGCUUAGAAGCAGCCAUCCUUUAAAGAAAGCGUAAUAGCUCACUGGUCUAGUGAUUUUGCGCGGAAAAUAUAACGGGGCUAAAGUAAGUACCGAAGCUGUAGACUUAGUUUACUAAGUGGUAGGAGAGCGUUCUAUUUGCGUCGAAGGUAUACCGGUAAGGAGUGCUGGAGCGAAUAGAAGUGAGCAUGCAGGCAUGAGUAGCGAUAAUUAAUGUGAGAAUCAUUAACGCCGUAAACCCAAGGUUUCCUACGCGAUGCUCGUCAUCGUAGGGUUAGUCGGGUCCUAAGUCGAGUCCGAAAGGGGUAGACGAUGGCAAAUUGGUUAAUAUUCCAAUACCAACAUUAGUGUGCGAUGGAAGGACGCUUAGGGCUAAGGGGGCUAGCGGAUGGAAGUGCUAGUCUAAGGUCGUAGGAGGUUAUACAGGCAAAUCCGUAUAACAAUACUCCGAGAACUGAAAGGCUUUUUGAAGUCUUCGGAUGGAUAGAAGAACCCCUGAUGCCGUCGAGCCAAGAAAAGUUUCUAAGUUUAGCUAAUGUUGCCCGUACCGUAAACCGACACAGGUGGGUGGGAUGAGUAUUCUAAGGCGCGUGGAAGAACUCUCUUUAAGGAACUCUGCAAAAUAGCACCGUAUCUUCGGUAUAAGGUGUGGUUCGCUUCGUAUUAGGAUUUACUCCGAAAGCGAAGAAACUUACAACAAAGAGUCCCUCCCGACUGUUUACCAAAAACACAGCACUCUGCUAACUCGUAAGAGGAUGUAUAGGGUGUGACGCCUGCCCGGUGCUCGAAGGUUAAUUGAUGGGGUUAGCAUUAGCGAAGCUCUUGAUCGAAGCCCGAGUAAACGGCGGCCGUAACUAUAACGGUCCUAAGGUAGCGAAAUUCCUUGUCGGUUAAAUACCGACCUGCAUGAAUGGCGUAACGAGAUGGGAGCUGUCUCAAAGAGGGAUCCAGUGAAAUUGUAGUGGAGGUGAAAAUUCCUCCUACCCGCGGCAAGACGGAGAGACCCCGUGGACCUUUACUAUAGCUUGACACUGCUAUUUGGAUAAAGAUGUGCAGGAUAGGUGGGAGGCUUUGAAGCUAGGACGCCAGUUCUAGCAGAGCCAUUGUUGAGAUACCACUCUUCUUUAUUUGGGUAGCUAACUAGCCUAAGUUAUCCUUAGGUAGGACAAUGUCUGGUGGGUAGUUUGACUGGGGCGGUCGCCUCCCAAAUAAUAACGGAGGCUUACAAAGGUUGGCUCAGAACGGUUGGAAAUCGUUCGUAGAGUAUAAAGGUAUAAGCCAGCUUAACUGCAAGACAUACAAGUCAAGCAGAGACGAAAGUCGGUCUUAGUGAUCCGGUGGUUCUGUGUGGAAGGGCCAUCGCUCAAAGGAUAAAAGGUACCCCGGGGAUAACAGGCUGAUCUCCCCCAAGAGCUCACAUCGACGGGGAGGUUUGGCACCUCGAUGUCGGCUCAUCGCAUCCUGGGGCUGGAGCAGGUCCCAAGGGUAUGGCUGUUCGCCAUUUAAAGCGGUACGCGAGCUGGGUUCAGAACGUCGUGAGACAGUUCGGUCCCUAUCUGCCGUGGGCGUAAGAAGAUUGAAGAGAUUUGACCCUAGUACGAGAGGACCGGGUUGAACAAACCACUGGUGUAGCUGUUGUUCUGCCAAGAGCAUCGCAGCGUAGCUAAGUUUGGAAAGGAUAAACGCUGAAAGCAUCUAAGCGUGAAGCCAACUCUAAGAUGAAUCUUCUCUAAGCUCUCUAGAAGACUACUAGUUUGAUAGGCUGGGUGUGUAAUGGAUGAAAGUCCUUUAGCUGACCAGUACUAAUAGAGCGUUUGGCUUAUCUUUAAUAAAGCAU